rnacentral:rRNA from 1 species
ACGCUCGACACCUACGGGGGCAGCAGUGAGGAAUAUUGGUCAAUGGGCGCUAGCCUGAACCAGCCAAGUAGCGUGAAGGAUGAAGGCUCUAUGGGUCGUAAACUUCUUUUAUAUAAGAAUAAAGUGCAGUAUGUAUACUGUUUUGUAUGUAUUAUAUGAAUAAGGAUCGGCUAACUCCGUGCCACAGCCGCCGGUAAUACUGAGCGGGCGUGGCGAAGGACG